GGUACCUUGGCCGAGCGGCUAGGCACCGGUCUGCAAAACCGAUUACGGCGGUUCGAUUCCGCCAGGUACCU
rnacentral:tRNA from 1 species